rnacentral:rRNA from 1 species
AUCCGCAUAAUGCCUACGGCCAAAGAGGGACCUUCGGGCCUCUCGCGUCAAGAUAUGCCUAGGUGGGAUUAGCUAGUUGGUGAGGUAAUGGCUCACCAAGGCGACGAUCCCUAGCUGGUCUGAGAGGAUGAUCAGCCACACUGGAACUGAGACACGGUCCAGACUCCUACGGGAGGCAGCAGUGGGGAAUAUUGCACAAUGGGCGAAAGCCUGAUGCAGCCAUGCCGCGUGUAUGAAGAAGGCCUUCGGGUUGUAAAGUACUUUCAGUUGUGAGGAAGGGGGUAGUGUUAAUAGCGCUAUCUCUUGACGUUAGCAACAGAAGAAGC